AUACUUCUGCAUUGCUAGCUAGCCAGUCACUGACUAGUCUAGACUGUUGGAUAAAGACUAGCUAUUUGCGUUUCGUUUUUAUCCGUGAAAGCUGCCAUGUUAAGGCUGGACAGUCCAUAUCCAACUAUCUGUCCCCUAGUUAUGUAGCUAGCUAAACGAGUUAGCCUCAACCCCCAACCAUCUGCUAUCCUCAGUAGUCAGUACAGUAGGCUCCAGUGCUGCACAUUCUUGACAUUCAUUUUUUGUUGUUACCUAAAGUCGAUUAGUCUAGCUAGCUGGUAUUUUGAGGCAAAACCACUGCUGAAGGCAAGCAAGCUCAACCUUCAACCUAGGCGACUAUUUGUUCACGUUCUUAUGAGAUAUGGUCGAUAAAUUAUUACUGGUUUAGAUACAACAACAAAAAAUACUAGCCUUGUCUACUUUAACACCAUUGUCUUCUUUCAGGCUGGAAACAAUGCAGCGAAGCCUAGAGUGGGCAAAGGGGUACGCUCUUAAAUGUUGCUUCAGCAGACGGCCUGAUAGCUGAAGUGUCCGAGCUCAUGCAGGAGAGUCGCACCCAUGGUCGGCAUGCACAACCAGGUGGGAACCAUUUCAGUGGGGCCAGUUCCGGUUACCAGGCUCCAUUGACUUGGAGUGGAGCUAGAGGUGCUCCUCAUUAUCACAUCACCGGAGAGCAACUGAGGGGUCUGAUGAUAGAUGGCAGAUAUUCUUCACGUGUUCCAUUCUACACUCAAACCACAUCUAAGGCACUUUGCAUUAACCUGAAGGCAGCUGCCUUCCCAUCAAUGUUGCAGAGGCUGCACAGAAGGUACAGUGUUGCUGCUCUGAAUUCUUUAUAACACAUCGAUGGAAACUACAGACUGAAGGUGGAGGAUAGUCAUCCAUGGUGGCAUUGAUGGUUACAGCUGCCUUGUGUUUCUCCACGCUUCCAGCAACAAGUGCAGCAUUACUAAAUGCUGAGGCCACACAGUCCAUCCAGGCUUAGAACAGGUGAUUGCCACCUAUUGAAUUGGAUAACCAUGGACCGGAACAGAUAAUCAAUAUUUUCCUGCAGUAGUGAAUGUAGGUUACGGCUCGACAUUAAAUUAUAACGAGAAGAAGAAG